UACGUAGGGUGCGAGCGUUAAUCGGAAUUACUGGGCGUAAAGCGUGCGCAGGCGGUUUUGUAAGCCAGAUGUGAAAUCCCCGGGCUUAACCUGGGAAUGGCAUUUGGGACUGCAAGGCUUGAGUGCGGCAGAGGAGACGUGGAAUUCCUGGUGUAGCAGUGAAAUGCGUAGAUAUCAGGAGGAACACCGAUGGCGAAGGCAGGAU
rnacentral:rRNA from 1 species